UGUUUUUUUUCUCUCUCAGGACGAACGCUGGCGGCGUGCCUAAUACAUGCAAGUCGAACGCUUCUUUUUCCACCGGAGCUUGCUCCACCGGAAAAAGAGGAGUGGCGAACGGGUGAGUAACACGUGGGUAACCUGCCCAUCAGAAGGGGAUAACACUUGGAAACAGGUGCUAAUACCGUAUAACAAUCGAAACCGCAUGGUUUUGAUUUGAAAGGCGCUUUCGGGUGUCGCUGAUGGAUGGACCCGCGGUGCAUUAGCUAGUUGGUGAGGUAACGGCUCACCAAGGCCACGAUGCAUAGCCGACCUGAGAGGGUGAUCGGCCACAUUGGGACUGAGACACGGCCCAAACUCCUACGGGAGGCAGCAGUAGGGAAUCUUCGGCAAUGGACGAAAGUCUGACCGAGCAACGCCGCGUGAGUGAAGAAGGUUUUCGGAUCGUAAAACUCUGUUGUUAGAGAAGAACAAGGAUGAGAGUAACUGUUCAUCCCUUGACGGUAUCUAACCAGAAAGCCACGGCUAACUACGUGCCAGCAGCCGCGGUAAUACGUAGGUGGCAAGCGUUGUCCGGAUUUAUUGGGCGUAAAGCGAGCGCAGGCGGUUUCUUAAGUCUGAUGUGAAAGCCCCCGGCUCAACCGGGGAGGGUCAUUGGAAACUGGGAGACUUGAGUGCAGAAGAGGAGAGUGGAAUUCCAUGUGUAGCGGUGAAAUGCGUAGAUAUAUGGAGGAACACCAGUGGCGAAGGCGGCUCUCUGGUCUGUAACUGACGCUGAGGCUCGAAAGCGUGGGGAGCAAACAGGAUUAGAUACCCUGGUAGUCCACGCCGUAAACGAUGAGUGCUAAGUGUUGGAGGGUUUCCGCCCUUCAGUGCUGCAGCUAACGCAUAAGC
rnacentral:rRNA from 1 species